UACGUAGGGGGCAAGCGUUGUCCGGAUUUAUUGGGCGUAAAGAGCGUGUAGGCGGCCCUGCAAGUCGGAUGUGAAAUCCCACGGCUCAACCGUGGAAGUGCAUUCGAAACUGCAGGGCUAGAGUCCUGGAGAGGAAGGUGGAAUGCUUGGUGUAGAGGUGAAAUUCGUAGAUAUCAAGCGGAACACCGGUGGCGAAGGCGGCCUUCUGGACAGUGACUGACGCUGAGACGCGAAAGCGUGGGGAGCAAACAGG
rnacentral:rRNA from 1 species